AUUUUCCCCACGCUAUCUCACAAUUGGUUUUUCUCUUUCCAGAAAUGCCCCACCCAUCAGCUGAUGUCCCGGAAGAUGAUCAAGGCGAGCACGUCUACAACAACACUGAUGGCCAACACGAGUAUUUCUCCAACUCUUCUUUGUUAGGAGAUGACAAGGCGAGCCGCCCGUCUGCCCCCGAUGCAAGUCUCUUGGACAACCAGGUCUAUUACAACACCAGCCCGAUGACUGGCAGCUUGACGGAGGCGACUCUUUGAUAGGGGCGUGUCUUGUGGGGAUGGGCGUGUCUUAUUGAGCAGGACAGAGGCUUGUCUUGUCAUGAGAGUGGUGUGUCUUGUUUUAUAGGAAAUGGGCGUGUGUCUUUUUAAACGAGACAUGGGCUAGUCUUGUUAAAUAGAACAGUGGGGUCUCUUGUUAUAUAGGACAUGGUCGUGUCUUAUUGAGCAGGACAGAGGCUUGUCUUGUCAUGACAGUGGCGUUUCUUGUUUUAUAGGACAUGGGCGUGUCUAGUUAAAUAGGACAGGGGUGUGUCUUAUUAAAUAGGACAGUGGAGUGUGUCUUGUUAAAUAAGGGAUUGGCGUUUCCUGUUAAAUAAGACAGGAGUGUGUCUUAUUAAACUGGAAAGGGGUGUGCCUUGUUAAAUGAGACAUUGGCUUGUCUUGUUAAAUAAGGCAGGGGGUGUGUCUUGUCAUAUAGUGCAGGGGGUGUCCUGUUAAAUAGGACAGGGGGUGUGUUUUGUCAAAUAGGAAA